GACACUUUUAGCUUGACGAGCGGGAAAUAAUUGUAGCUUUCAAUCAUUGUUGUGUGUUUUUUUAUUUUUUAAUGUCGUGGUAUUUCACAUGUCUAGGGACAGACGAGGACACGAGGGCCUUAAUCCCGUGGCGGUCGGUGCACAAAUCCCUCUUCACGGGGAAGAGGAACGCCUCCGUGACUGGAUUUGAGGUCUUCAUAAAGGAGAGCGGGCUUGGGAGGUUGGAUCCCAAGCUCGUGAAAAAGAGGUGGGAGAACCUCAUCCACAAAUAUAAGAUGGCCUGCAGCUGGAUGGAGUGAAAAAGCUUCCUGUUGAAAUAACAGGCAGCAUCCUCCGCUGGGGGCUUUACUCGGAUGUGGCAGCCAUCAAUAGCCCCCACCACUCUGCUGAAGGCUGCUGACCCAGCUAGACGGGCGAAGCGGGCACCUAGGCGUGGGAGUUCCUCUCCUGUAG
ensembl:lncRNA